UAAUUUUUUUUGUAUUUUUAAUAGAGAUGGGGUUUCACCAUGUUGGCCAGGGUGGUCUUGAACUCCUGAUGUCAGGUGAUGUGCCUGCCUUGGGCUCCCAAACUGCUGGGAUUACAGGUAUGAGCCACCAUGCCCAGCCACAAUAGACAUUCUUACACAUGGGAACAGUUCUACAGAAUAAAUUCCUUGAAGCAGAAGUGCUAAGUCAGAUGUAGGCACAUUAAAAAAUUUUGAUAGAAUCUUGCCUUUAAGAAUCUUGAAUGAUUUAUCUUUUUGUCAACAGACUGUAUUGAGCAAAAUCUGUAUUUAUUAUUCUUUAAAAGAAGAGAAUAGCUUCCACUUAGUGUUUAUAACAUGUCAGGUACUGUGCUGAACACUUCACAUGCAUUUUAAAAUUUAAUCCUCACCUUAUGAGAGUCAGAGGCAGAAUUAUUUUCUUCAUGACCCUGUGGUUCUGUAGCUCUUGAGGGGCACAUUUAAGAUUAGAAUCCAAGUUCAUUUUGCUUCAGUUCCUGGGUUCUUUGCAGGGUCUGAAUCCCUGCUCAGUCAUUGACUGGAAUCUGUGUUUCAUUGGGUGACUUAAGGAUUAAAUUGGAUUGUGUAUUUGCUGUUACAGUAAUGUUAUUAAUAAUUCCCUUCUCCAGUAACUUGCACAAUUGGACAUGGUCCAAUGCUUCCUAUGAUGCUGGUUCCCCUGAACUGUCUGCCUCUCCAUUCCUUCUCUGCCUUUUCUUCUUCCUGCCUUGCAUAUAUUUUAAGGAAAUCUCUGGCUUUUCUUCUUUCUCUCAAAUCUCCUUUGCCAACUUUAUUACAGUCUCUGGCCUUAUUUCUCACGUGUAAGUAGAUAACUCUUAACAUUUUCAUCUUCAAACCUGUGUACCUCAAUUCAUACUGCAUAGAUCCAGAUUAUAUAUCUCCAUUGGAUAUCCUGUACUCACUUUUUUCUAAAACAGAACUCCUUGUUGCCCUCCACCUCCAGACUAGCAUGUCCUCUUUGAAUUUAAUUCAUGGUUCCAUAAUUCUCAGUCACCUCAAUUCCCAGCCUCAUUCAGCUUUGACUCCUUUUUCUCUGCUGAAUCUCCCAAAUUAAAUAAUCAAUCUUGCAUUCUCACUGUGACCACUCUAAAUACUCUGGACUAUUAUGAUUGCCUUGUAAUUUCUCUUUUGGGCUCCAGUCUCUGCCAUAUUAAUUUUUCUAAAGCAUAGCUGUGAAUAGAAACCAUACCUCUGUUCAGAAUAUAUACCAUAUGUCUGUUCUGUGGUUCCACAUUACUCAAGAAAAUAUAGACCACUUUGUCCAGCAUUCAGAUUUGUCUGUAAUCUCAUCCAAUUUAUCAUUUCAUUAUUUCUCACACUGCCUUUAUCUGAACCCCUCCCUCCAGGCAAUCCAGAGUACUUACAUUACAUUCUCUGUGACAUCUUUCCCAUCUAUAUCUUUUCCUGGAAUGCCUCUACCUACAUUUCUGCCGUCUAAAUCUUAUUUAAAUGCCAUUUUCUAAUUUCUUUAAAGUCUUUUUUGAAUCUCCCCCGAAAGUAAUAUCUCCCUCCUUUUAACUCUUCUACUACUUUAUAUAUCUCCUAAGGAUUUAAUUUAUACACACCGCUUUGUAUUAUAGUUGUAUAAGUGGCUACUGUUUUUUCUUCUGGACUGGAAAUUCUGUGCAGGCAGAAUCUCUCUUUAGUUAUUUUUGUGUGUUUUUUGUGCACGUGACACAUUUAUGUGUAUAUCGUACAUGCUUAAUGAAUAUAUUUAAGUGAGUUACUACAUUAUUUGAGAAUAAAAAGUCACAUGUAUUAGCCUAUUGCUAGCUGUAGUGACAAACAGAUCCCAACAUUUUCUUGAUUUAACAUAGAAAAGUUAUUUCUUGCUCACAUAACAAUUUCAAGGUAGGCGUCCCUGGUCAGCAAACGGCUUGCUUUCACUUGGUAGAAGGACCCAGACUCUGCCAUUCGUCAGCACUUCACUCUUGUCUAAAUCCAGUCAGCAGAAAGGCAAGGAGAAACUAUGGAGAAAGCAUACUUGCUUAGCUUCUUAGAAGCUUCUUGCAGUGUUACACAUUACAUUGGCUCACAUUCCAGUCACAGGGAGGCAGCCACUUCCUAGAACAAACGCUAUUCUCUGGAGGAGGAGCCAGGAUUUUAGUGGACAAACAACCUUCUCUCCCACAGUUGAUUUCUACUUGUGAAAACCUUUGGGACUUAGCUUGAACAUCACUUGCUCAAAAAGCAAAAACAAACAAAUAAACAAACAAACAAACAAAGAAAACCUUCCUACUUCUCCAGUCUGGUUAAGGUCAGCAAAAGUUCUGUUGUGCCAUAGAAUUUGAACGUAGCUUUAUCGUAAUGAACUAAUUACUCCUCCCCACUACCUCCCAUAGACCAUGUGCUUUAUCUUUAAUCAUUGUUGUAUUACAACUACUAGCACAAUGCAUGACAUGAAUAAAUAAAUAUCUUUCUCAAUGAAUCUAUAACUCAUCUUUCUUUAUGUUCACUUGGUAAUUAUUUUGGUUCAAACAACCCUAAAAUUAAAGAUUAUUUUGCCACCUGCUGUUUGACAUUUGAGUU
rnacentral:lncRNA from 1 species